GGUCAAUCUUAAAUGUCGAUA
rnacentral:siRNA from 1 species